rnacentral:rRNA from 1 species
AGACCCGAAACCCGGUGAUCUAGCCAUGGGCAGGUUGAAGGUUGGGUAACACUAACUGGAGGACCGAACCGACUAAUGUUGAAAAAUUAGCGGAUGACCUGUGGCUGGGGGUGAAAGGCCAAUCAAACCGGGAGAUAGCUGGUUCUCCCCGAAAGCUAUUUAGGUAGCGCCUCGUGAAUUCAUCUCCGGGGGUAGAGCACUGUUUCGGCUAGGGGGCCAUCCCGGCUUACCAACCCGAUGCAAACUGCGAAUACCGGAGAAUGUUAUCACGGGAGACACACGGCGGGUGCUAACGUCCGUCGUGAAGAGGGAAACAACCCAGACCGCCAGCUAAGGUCCCAAAGUCAUGGUUAAGUGGGAAACGAUGUGGGAAGGCCCAGACAGCCAGGAUGUUGGCUUAGAAGCAGCCAUCAUUUAAAGAAAGCGUAAUAGCUCACUGGUCGAGUCGGCCUGCGCGGAAGAUGUAACGGGGCUAAACCAUGCACCGAAGCUGCGGCAGCGACGCUUAUGCGUUGUUGGGUAGGGGAGCGUUCUGUAAGCCUGUGAAGGUGUGUCGUGAGGCAUGCUGGAGGUAUCAGAAGUGCGAAUGCUGA